UAACUUCUGGAAUGUGCGAGACCCCUUUUUUAUUUGAACCUACAUUGACAAAUAGGGACUCCUACAUUGUUGAAGUGAUGUCAGACCUCUCGUUGUGGUAGGCAGAUCUUCAGUUGCGGACACCCAUCCUGGCUUAGGCUAGGCGUCAAAUGGAAGGGAACGGCAUUCCGGAUCUUAA
rnacentral:other from 2 species